rnacentral:rRNA from 1 species
CUACGGGGGGCACCAGUGGGGAAUAUUGGACAAUGGGGGAAACCCUGAUCCAGCAAUGCCGCGUGUGUGAAGAAGGCCUGCGGGUUGUAAAGCACUUUCGGUUGGGAGGACUGCUUCUAGCACUAAUAUUGUUGGAAGUUGACGUUACCUUCAGAAGAAGCACCGGCUAACUCCGUGCCAGCAGCCGCGGUAAUACGGUGGGUGCAAGCGUUAAUCGGAAUUACUGGGCGUAAAGCGCGCGUAGGCGGCUAGAUCAGUCGGGUGUGAAAGCCCCGGGCUUAACCUGGGAACUGCAUCCGAUACUGUCUAGCUCGAGUACAGGAGAGGAGAGUGGAAUUCCACAUGUAGCGGUGAGAUGCGUAGAUAUGUGGAGGAACACCAAUGGCGAAGGCAGCUCUCUGGCCUGAUACUGACGCUGAGGUGCGAAAGCGUGGGGAGCAAACAGGAUUAGAUACCCUUGUAGUC